rnacentral:sRNA from 1 species
GGCCCCUUUGUAGCAUCUGCAAUAGUUAAGGUAGAGGCCUUCCAGCAGACCUCUCUGGCCAGCAGUAUUGCUACUGCCAGCUUCAUCUCCCUUGAGAGAAAUUGUGGGCAAGCAGUAGUUGCUACCACCAGCUUCAUGCUGGCAGGCCUGUCUCCCCUUGACAACUUAUAAUGAUGGUUGCUUUCAGUGAGUGAUUUCCAUAAUAUCACUGAAAGUCCUAUCAAUUGCUGGAACCAUCAUAUUAUGUGGGGACAGUUCUCAACAGGGAAAAAUCAGGUUGAAUUGCAACAACUAGUGACAAUGAGAAGGAUUGUGAAAUCACUGAGAGCUGCACAUCUCUCAACAAACAUAAAGCAGGCACAGCAGAGUCUGAAGGCAGUGUCAAGAAGCAUAUGCCUCCCCCCAUGAUGGCUAGCCUCAAGGCUUAUUCCACCAAAUACUUUUUGGUAGAUUUAAAGACCUCCAUCCAGUUGACAAUUUUAUGCUCUUAA